rnacentral:rRNA from 1 species
UACGGAGGGUGCGAGCGUUGUCCGGAAUCACUGGGCGUAAAGGGCGCGUAGGCGGCGCGGGAAGUCAUCGGUGAAAGUUCAGGGCUCAACUCUGGGAUGCCGGUGGAUACUGUCGGGCUCGAGUCCGGAAGAGGCGAGUGGAAUUCCUGGUGUAGCGGUGAAAUGCGCAGAUAUCAGGAAGAACACCCGUGGCUAAGGCGGCUCUCUAGUACGGUACUGACGCUGAGACGCGAAAGCGUGGGGAGCGAACAGG